rnacentral:rRNA from 1 species
CGAGUCCGAGUCCCCACGGGGGCGAAGUAGUAUCUGUCAAGCUUCAAAUAAAAGCUCUAAACAUCAUAAAUCAGUUAUGCCUGUACCCGAAACCGACACAGGUGGGGUGGUAGAGAAUACCGAGGGGCGCGAGAUAACUCUCUCUAAGGAACUCGGCAAAAUGGCCCCGUAACUUCGGGAGAAGGGGUACCAGUUAACACUGGUCGCAGUGAAGAGUCCCAGGCGACUGUUUACCAAAAACACAGGUCUCCGCAAAGUCGAAAGACAAAGUAUGGGGGCUGACGCCUGCCCAGUGCCGGAAGGUUAAAGAAGUCGGUCAGGGAGUAAUCCUGAAGCUGGCGACUGAAGCCCCGGUGAACGGCGGCCGUAACUAUAACGGUCCUAAGGUAGCGAAAUUCCUUGUCGGGUAAGUUCCGACCCGCACGAAAGGCGUAACGAUCUGGGAGCUGUCUCGGAGAGAGACUCGGCGAAAUAGAAAUGUCUGUGAAGAUACGGACUACCUGCACCUGGACAGAAAGACCCUAUGAAGCUUUACUGUAGCCUGGAGUUGGGUUCGGGCUUCUCUUGCGCAGGAUAGGUGGGAGGUUUUGAAGUGACUCUUGUGGGAGUCAUGGAGCCAUCGGUGAGAUACCACUCUGGAGAAGCUAGAAUUCUAACUUAGUGCCAUUAUCUGGCCUGAAGACAGUUUCAGGGGGGCAGUUUGACUGGGGCGGUCGCCUCCUAAAAGGUAACGGAGGCGCGCAAAGGUUCCCUCAGGCUGGUUGGAAAUCAGCCGUAGAGUGUAAAGGCAAAAGGGAGCUUGACUGCGAGAGUUACAACUCCAGCAGGAGCGAAAGCUGGCCUUAGUGAUCCGACGGUUCUGCGUGGAAAGGCCGUCGCUCAACGGAUAAAAGUUACUCUAAGGAUAACAGGCUGAUCUCCCCCAAGAGUUCACAUCGACGGGGAGGUUUGGCACCUCGAUGUCGGCUCAUCGCAACCUGGGGCGGAAGUACGUCCCAAGGGUUGGGCUGUUCGCCCAUUAAAGCGGUACGUGAGCUGGGUUCAUAACGUCGUGAGACAGUUCGGUCCAUAUCCGGUGUAGGCGUAAGAGCAUUGAGAGGAGUCCUCCCUAGUACGAGAGGACCGGGAGGAACGCACCGCUGGUGUACCUGUUAUCGUGCCAACGGUAAACGCAGGGUAGCCAAGUGCGGAGUGGAUAACCGCUGAAAGCAUCUAAGUGGGAAGCCCACCUCAAGAUGAGUGCUCUCAUCCUUUUUAAGGAUUAAGGUCACGGGCAGAUUACCCGUUGAUAGGCGUUAGGUGGAAGUUCAGCAAUGUAUGAAGCCAAGGCGCACUAACAGACCGAGGGCUUGACC